rnacentral:rRNA from 1 species
GGACCCGCACAAGUAGUGGAGCAUGUGGUUUAAUUCGAAGAUACGCGCAGAACCUUACCAACACUUGACAUGUUCGUCGCGACUCUAAGAGAUUAGAGUUUUCGGUUCGGCCGGACGAAACACAGGUGCUGCAUGGCUGUCGUCAGCUCGUGUCGUGAGAUGUUGGGUUAAGUCCCGCAACGAGCGCAACCCACGUCUUUAGUUGCCAUCAUUAAGUUGGGCACUCUGAAAGAACUGCCAGUGAUAAGCUGGAGGAAGGUGGGGAUGACGUCAAGUCCUCAUGGCCCUUACGUGUUGGGCUACACACGUGCUACAAUGGUAUCUACAACAGGAAGCAAGACGGCGACGUUUAGCAAAUCCUUAAAAGAUACCUCAGUUCGGAUUGCACUCUGCAACUCGAGUGCAUGAAGCUGGAAUUACUAGUAAUCG